rnacentral:rRNA from 1 species
UACGGGGGGGGCAAGCGUUGUUCGGAAUUACUGGGCGUAAAGGGCUCGUAGGCGGCCAACUAAGUCAGACGUGAAAUCCCUAGGCUCAACCUAGGAACUGCGUCUGAUACUGGAUGGCUUGAAUCCGGGAGAGGGAUGCGGAAUUCCAGGUGUAGCAGGUGAAAUGCGUAGAUAUCUGGAGGAACACCGGUGGCGAAGGCGGCAUCCUGGACCGGCAUUGGACGCUGAGGAGCGAAAGCCA